UAUAUCCGUCUUGUUUACGGUCUUGAUAGUUAGCAUGCUAUCUUUUUCACACAUUACAACCUUGUCAAGUUAAUUCUGCUCACGCGGCUAUAUGAUAUUAUCAUCAACUAUUGUCGAUUUAAUUCGUCCGCAUAAUAUCGUAUUGUUUAGUGUGUUUAUGUUUAUAAAUAUAUAUAGGUACAUACGCCGCGGACAAGCUUGACUUCGUAUUAGUACUAAUAUAACGUAUCUACCUCUUUUUACUAUAACAUCAUUGUUCAUUGUUCCUUGUGAUUGCGAGUUUAUCACGAUAAAUAGCUGUUUGUUUAGUUACUGGUGGUAAGGCGUCUUCUGAGUCGACGCGGGAUCUAACGCUGUUUGCAUCAUUUCAUCGUACUCCUCCUGUAUCAUGAAAAAAAUGAGAGCCAUAAGAAUACUCGUUGAAAUUUAACCGAGUCAAUUCAUAUCCAUAUACAACAGUAUAGUAUUUGUUAGCAUAACAUAUAACACGGUAUUAUUUUAUAAUAACUAAUGUUAUGGAUUAUUGUUGUAUAGUGUUAGGAUUAUUAAUUAUAAAAAAUAAUGUUAUAUUAUAAUACGAUUCGGUAUAAAUAAAAAUUCUAUCGAAGUACGAAUUGAAA